GGACUACCAGGGUAUCUAAUCCCGUUUGCUCCCCUGGCUUUCGUGCCUCAGUGUCAGGAAUUGUCUAGGGACUCGCCUUCGCCACUGGUGUUCCGCUCGAUAUCUACGCAUUUCACUGCUACACCGAGCAUUCCAGUCCCCCCUCCAAUCCUCAAGCUGGAUAGUAUUCAAUGCCAUUUCCGGGUUAAGCCCGGAGAUUUCACAUCAAACUUACCCAACCACCUACGCACCCUUUACGCCCAGUAAAUCCGAACAACGCUUGGGACCUCUGUAUUACCGCGGCGGCUGGCAC
rnacentral:rRNA from 2 species